ACGGGAGGCAGCAGCUAAGAAUAUUCCGCAAUGGACGAAAGUCUGACGGAGCGACGCCGCGUGGAUGAUGAAGGUCGAAAGAUUGUAAAAUCCUUUUGUCAGUGAGGAAUAAGUGUGGCUGGGAAUGGCCGCAUGGUGACUGUAGCUGAUGAAUAAGCAACGGCUAAUUACGUGCCAGCAGCCGCGGUAACACGUAAGUUGCGAGCGUUGUUCGGAAUUAUUGGGCGUAAAGGGCAUGUAGGCGGUUAUGAAAGUCUGUAGUGAAAUCCCUGGGCUUAACCCAGGAACUGCUAUGGAAACUGCAGGACUAGAAUUACUGAAGGGCAACUGGAAUUCCAAGUGUAGGGGUGAAAUCUGUAGAUAUUUGGAAGAACACCAAUGGCGAAGGCAAGUUGCUGGCAGAUAAUUGACGCUGAGGUGCGAAGGUGCGGGGAGCAAACAGGAUUAGAUACCCUGGUA
rnacentral:rRNA from 1 species